GAUGAACGCUGGCGGCGUGCCUAAUACAUGCAAGUCGAGCGAAUGGAUUAAGAGCUUGCUCUUAUGAAGUUAGCGGCGGACGGGUGAGUAACACGUGGGUAACCUGCCCAUAAGACUGGGAUAACUCCGGGAAACCGGGGCUAAUACCGGAUAACAUUUUGAACCGCAUGGUUCGAAAUUGAAAGGCGGCUUCGGCUGUCACUUAUGGAUGGACCCGCGUCGCAUUAGCGAGUUGGUGAGGUAACGGCUCACCAAGGCAACGAUGCGUAGCCGACCUGAGAGGGUGAUCGGCCACACGGGGACUGAGACACGGCCCAGACUCCUACGGGAGGCAGCAGGAGGGAAUCUGCCGCAAUGGACGAAAGUCUGACGGAGCAACGCCGCGUGAGUGAUGAAGGCUUUCGGGUCGUAAAACUCUGUUGGUAGGGAAGAACAAGUGCUAGUUGAAUAAGCUGGCACCUUGACGGUACCUAACCAGAAAGCCACGGCUAACUACGUGCCAGCAGCCGCAGUAA
rnacentral:rRNA from 1 species